rnacentral:tRNA from 2 species
AUUUCAAGCUCAGUGGUAGAGCGGUCGGCUGGUAACUGACUAGUCGUAGGUUCGAAUCCUACUUGAAAAG